rnacentral:rRNA from 1 species
UUGGAGGGCAAGUCUGGUGCCAGCAGCCGCGGUAAUUCCAGCUCCAAUAGCGUAUAUUAAAGUUGUUGCAGUUAAAAAGCUCGUAGUUGAACUUCGGGGUCUACCCAUCGGUCAGGCUUAAUUGUCUGUACUGGUGAGAUGGAUCUCUACCUUCUGAGGAACUUUCAUGCCAUUUAUUUGGUGUGAUUGGAAAUCAGGACUGUUACUUUGAAAAAAUUAGAGUGUUUAAAGCAGACUAUCGUCUGAAUACAUUAGCAUGGAAUAAUGAAAUAGGACGGACUGAUUCUAUUUCGUUGGUUUCUAGGAUCACCGUAAUGAUUAAUAGGGAUAGUUGGGGGCAUUAGUAUUCAAUUGUCAGAGGUGAAAUUCUUGGAUUUAUUGAAGACUAACUACUGCGAAAGCAUUUGCCAAGGAUGUUUUCAUUAAUCAAGAACGAAAGUUAGGGGAUCGAAGACGAUCAGAUACCGUCGUAGUCUUAACCAUAAACUAUGCCGACUAGGGAUCGGACGAAGUUAAUUUUAUAAUGACGCGUUCGGCGCCUUACGGGAAAC